rnacentral:tRNA from 1 species
GCUCACGUAGCUCAGUAGGUAGAGCACUUCCUUGGUAAGGAAGAGGUCACCAGUUCGAUCCUGGUCGUGAGCUCCA